UACAGAGGGUGCGAGCGUUGUCCGGAAUCACUGGGCGUAAAGCGCGCGCAGGCGGUCAUCUACGUCUGGGGUGAAAGCCCGGAGCUCAACUCCGGGAUUGCCUUGGAUACGGGAUGACUUGAGGAUCGGAGAGGCAAGGGGAAUUCCACGUGUAGCGGUGAAAUGCGUAGAGAUGUGGAGGAACACCUGUGGCGAAGGCGCCUUGCUGGCCGAUUUCUGACGCUGAGGCGCGAAAGCGUGGGGAGCAAACAGG
rnacentral:rRNA from 1 species